rnacentral:lncRNA from 1 species
CGCAUUCCGCAUUCCCCAGAACCUCACUGGACCUUGACAACCGCACCUGGACAGCCGUUGGCUGUAACGCCAGGUGACAGCAGCAGCUCCUGAAUCUCAGCGCGAGACACUUACAGGCAAACGGCAGACACGGCAGCCUGUGUGCGCCCUGUCCUGGCUGCGGAUGCUUCUGGAUGAGGGGGGAGGACAGAGGAUGUGAGAAACGAGCAAGGAAGGAGACGCCAUGGAGGAUGUCGCCGUGUGAUUCCAGCUCUGUGGCGUUCUGGAAAAGGCACAGUGAUGGAGCCAGUGAGAGAGGUGGGUGGUGACCAGGGUCCUGUCGGGAGGGGUGAACAGCCGGAGCUUGGGGGCUUUAGGGCAGCGAGAGGACUCCGUGUGCUAACACCAGGUGGAUGCAUGAUGGACAGAACGUUCAACACCAAAAGCAAACCUUAACAUCAUCCCUAGACUCUGGUGCUGGAGACGCAUCAGUGCAGGGUCACAAUUGUGACAAACGUCUCCCUGGUGCGGAUAUUGGCAGUCCGGAGGCUGCUCAUGUGGGGGCAAGGGAACUUGGAGAAUCUCUGUGCCUUCCCCCCAGUUUUGCUACAAACCUACAACUACUCUGAAAAGAUUGAAGCCUAUUUAAAAGGGGGGAAAAGGACUGAUAGAAGAUUUUAAAGCUAAGCAACACUGCUUUUGGCCUGAGACCCAGGUGGCAGCAGCACGGAGACCACACUCUCUGAGGAGGACAGACAGAAGGACAGCCGGUGAAAGAUGAGGACGGUGGUACAGCCUCGGAAGCCAGCCUGCAGAGGGCCGCGCACGAUAGAGGGGACGGAGGCACUGUUGGAAAAUGUAGCCCUGGGUGUCAGUCUCGGAAAGCCUGUUUCCGAACCAAACAACAGCUACGAAGAGGGUGGAAAGGGAAGCAGGGAACCUGCNGCACGGAGACCACACUCUCUGAGGAGGACAGACAGAAGGACAGCCGGUGAAAGACGAGGACGGUGGUACAGCCUCGGAAGCCAGCCUGCAGAGAGGGCCGCGCACGAUAGAGGGGACGGAGGCACUGUUGGAAAAUGCAGCCCUGGGUGUCAGUCUCGGAAAGCCUGUUUCCGAAACAAACAACAGCUACGAAGAGUGUGGAAAGGGAAGCAGGGAACCUGCGGGGGAAAGAGGAGCCACACGGACACCCAGGAGAGGCGGUACCUGAACACCCCACUCAUGUGCCUCUCAGCAGAUUUCUAA